GACGUAGGAUGCAAGCGUUAUCCGGAAUUAUUGGGCGUAAAGCGUUCGUAGGUGGUUUGUUAAGUAGGGUGUUGAAUCUUUGGGCUUAACCCAAAAUUGGCAUCCUAAACUGGCUCACUAGAGAUAGGUAGAGGUAAGUGGAAUUCUGUAUGUAGGGGUAAUAUCCGUAGAUAUGCAGAGGAACACCAAAAGCGAAAGCAACUUACUGGACCUGUUCUGACACUCAAGAACGAAAGCGUGGGGAGCAAACGGG
rnacentral:rRNA from 1 species